rnacentral:rRNA from 1 species
GACGAACGCUGGCGGCGUGCUUAACACAUGCAAGUCGAACGCUGAAGCUCAGCUUUUGUUGGGUGGAUGAGUGGCGAACGGGUGAGUAACACGUGAGUAACCUGCCCCCUUCUUUGGGAUAACGCCCGGAAACGGGUGCUAAUACUGGAUAUUCACUGGUCUUCGCAUGGGGGCUGGUGGAAAGGGCUUUUCUGGUGGGGGAUGGGCUCGCGGCCUAUCAGCUUGUUGGUGGGGUGAUGGCCUACCAAGGCUUUGACGGGUAGCCGGCCUGAGAGGGUGACCGGUAACAUUGGGACUGAGAUACGGCCCAGACUACUACGGGAGGCAGCAGUGGGGAAUAUUGCACAAUGGGCGCAAGCCUGAUGCAGCGACGCCGCGUGAGGGAUGGAGGCCUUCGGGUUGUGAACCUCUUUCGCUCAUGGUGAAGCCGCAACAAUGGUUGUGGUGAGGGUAGUGGGUAAAGAAGCGCCGGCUAACUACGUG